rnacentral:rRNA from 1 species
CAGAGGGUGCGAGCGUUGUUCGGAAUUACUGGGCGUAAAGCGCGUGUAGGCGGUCUAGCAAGUCAGAUGUGAAAUCCCGGGGCCUAACUCCGGACGUGCAUUUGAAACUACUAGGCUAGAGUGAUGUAGAGGAUGGCGGAAUACCCAGUGUAGAGGUGAAAUUCGUAGAGAUUGGGUAGAACACCGGUGGCGAAGGCGGCCAUCUGGGCAUUAACUGACGCUGAGACGCGAAAGCGUGGGAGCAAACAGGAUUAGAUACCCUGGUAGUCCACGCCCUAAACGAUGGAUACUCGCUGUAGCUGGUAUUGACCCCGGCUGUAGCUUAGUUAACGCGUUAAGUAUCCCGCCUGGGAAGUACGGUCGCAAGAUUA